rnacentral:lncRNA from 1 species
UAGUUCCCGAGCCGGUGUACGCGGUUGCUUUACCCCUCCCCGCUCCCACGCGGGUGCCCCCUCCAGCCAUCGCUACUGCCACCACCUCGGUUCCACUCAAUCGAUUUUUGCUGCAUGUCAACACUUAUUCCCGCUUCUCCAAAGGCCACUGCUUCUCCUUCAGUGUGUUCACAGCCUGUACAGUGAUCCCGAAAGUUUCAGGGGACGAGGGGAAGAUGGCAACUGAGACACGGGGGAACAGGUUUUUCAGGGAAUCAGUAGGCAUCAGGCAUAUGAUUAGAACUUGGUGGAAAGACAUCUUCCUCCACUGAAGAGCUGCCCCUUUUCCACCCUCCUCUGAGUGCUUUCCCUUUCUCAUUUCUUCCAACUGUUCUCAAGGAGCUAUGCUCAAGGAACUGCACCUAGAAAGCUUCAUCCACAUCUGAGCCUGGUUGAGAUGACAAGAUUCUAGCCUUUGAAAUGAUGCUGUAAUGGGUUGAAACUUUUGGUGGCUUUGAGGUGUGAGUAUCAUUUACCUGUGGGAGGGAGAUUAGUCAAUGAGAGAUAGAGGAUAGACUCCUGGGUCAACCUUCAAUAUGGUGCUCAAGUAAUUCUUGCUUCUUGGUAUUCACGCCCCUGUGUAGUCCUUCCUUCCCCACAUUGGCUUGUAUAAUCAAUAGCAUAUUAUGGAAAUGACAAUACGUGGUUCCUAAGACCAGGACAUAAAAGAUAAUUGCAGCUUCUGCCUUGCUCUCUCUUGGACAACUCACUCUUGAGGAAGUCAGAGAUCAUGUCAUUUCAUGAGGACACUCCAGCUGCCCUAAUGACAGAGCCAUGUGGUAAUGAUCUGAGCCAGCAUGAACUUGACUGCCAUGUAAGUGAGCCAUCCUAGAGGCAAAUCCUGGAGGCGGCUCCAGUCAAGCUUUCAGAGGACUGUAGAUAUAGCUGAGAUUUUACCCAUAACCUCAUAAGAGACACUAAACCAGGAUUACCCAGCUAAGCUGCCCUUAAAUUCCUGAGCCACAGAAACUGUGAAAGAUAAUAACUGUUUGUUGUUGUUUUCAGCCACUAGAUUUGGGGGUAAUUUUUUUUUUUUUUUAUAAAGCAACGGACAACUAAAACAGUAAACUACAAUCUCAUUAUAAGGCAAAAGUUGAAAUGACUGCUUAAAAAUGUUAUGUUUUUUGACUGCAUCAAUUGAACAAAGGUUCCAUGUCAGAGAUGGUAAUAGUUCACUUCUAGACUUAUAACAAUUUAAGAUAUUGUAUGUAGUUUGAGUCAUAUACUUUGAAAGACACUGGCAAACACAAUGAGAGCACUAAGGACUAUCAGGAUAGCGAAGACUUAACAAACUAUAACAUGAAGAGUACAUGAGAACACCUGGUGAAAAUCUGAGUAGAUUUAGGGAUGACAUGACAUCUGUACAUGUGUUUAAAGCAUUAGCACAAGAAACAUGUAAUGGCAUAGCCUCUCUUCCUUCCAAGGGGAGAAACGAAGAAAAGGCUACAAGUUAUAUAACAGUAGAUUUUAAAUAACACAGAGAAGUAUUUUUUGAGGCUUCCAGUUAUCUAACAAAAGAAUGAUUUCUUCAUUGGAAGAGUUGAAACACAGGCUAGAUUAUCACCUAUAAAAAAUGUAGUACAGAAAAAUUCUGGACUAGGAUGUUGGAUAAACUUCGCAAAAUGUCACUAGGCUACUUUCCAAUCUGAUCUAAGAUAUAUUUAUUCAGUUACCUUCAAUAAACAGCAAAUUUCUAGGAACUCCCUUACACAAACCUUCAAAGUCUUGUAGAAGUUUCAUCAGACAACACAAUAGAUAUUUUGCAGAUCCUUGAAAUGUAAUUAGUAUUUUCCCAGUUACGUGCGCAUCUAAGAAACAAAGCAGAAAGACAACUACAGAAGGAAGAUACCACUUAUUCCCUUGUUCUGAAGAUUAAAAAAAAAAAACCCAAACUUUUCUGGGGUAGAUGCAUUUUCUAAAGCUAAGAUUCCGAUUCAGUUUUGGCCUCAUUUUAAAGAAGAAUGUUGUGGAUUAGAUUGAUUUGUAAGAUUUAAAGACAACUUGCAUAUCAAAGUGCAAAGACGGUAAGCAUAAUUCAUUUUCUUCUAUGAGAGUCAUUUCAUUCUCUACUAUUUGAGAAACAUCUGCAGGAUCCAUUAUGCGCCACACAUGUAAGAGUUAAGCUUUCAAUCAACCAAGCAAAGUCAUAUAAUUGUUGAUGACAGAGUCAGGAAAAGAUCUGGGGAUUCUUAAUUCUUAAAGUAAUAUAUUUUUGAGGUCUCUUAAGAACUGUAUUAUUUUUUCUAGAUAAUAAAAAUAAAAAAACUACAAAGGAGGUACAAAUUAUUAUGUAUAAAGUAAAUAAGCUACAGGAAUAUAUUGUACGGCACAAGGAAUACAGCCAAUAUUUUAUAAUAAUCUUAAAUGGGGUAUAAUUAUAAAAAUAUUGAAUCACUAUGUUGUAUACCUGAAACUAACAUAAUAUUGUAAAUCAACUAUCCUUCAAUAAAACAAAAAG